rnacentral:misc_RNA from 1 species
AACAUUCUUCUCGGUGGAUACAUGAGAAAUGGAUCAGUUGAAAAAGCUGAAUCGUUACAUUAUCACACGUUGGAGAAAGGUGGAUGUCCAAAUUCUAAAACCUGGGAGAUAUUGGUGGAAGGAUGGAUAAGGAGUCAACAAAUGGAUAAAGCUACCGAUGCCUUGAAAAGUGGUCUUGCUGCUCUAAAACAUUAUGAAUGGAGGCCAUCACCAAGUAUUGAUGUCGCAAUUUCAGAAUAUUUCGAAGAAACUAGACAGUUUGAGAAGGCUAUGGAGUUUCUUACAACUCUUAGACAUUUUGGUCCUGCUAAUUUACAAGUGUACAAGUCAUUGCUUAGAAUGCAAAUCUCAAGAGAAGAAAGUCCACUGUACAUCCUUGAAAUGAUGCAGAAUGAUGGAAUUGACGUGGAUGAUGAGACCUCUGCCAUCUGUUCAGACGUUUUGCAUUGUUGAGAACUCAAAAUCCAUAGGGCAGAAGAUGGG